rnacentral:rRNA from 1 species
CGCCUGUUUAACAAAAACAUUUCUUUUUAAAGAUAAAAAAGGUAAGUCCUGUUCAAUGAAGAUUAAAUAACCGCAGUAUUUAAUUGUGCGAAGGUAGCAUAAUAAUUUUUUCUUUAAUUGGGAGGUAGAAUGAAAGGGUUAAUAAAGUGAAGACUGUGUUGGCAUGAUACGAUAAUUUUAUAAGAAGGUUAAAAUGCCUUCUAAUAUUAAAGGGACGACAAGACCCUAGAAGCUUUAAGGUAUUUAUAAAUAUAAGACUGUUUAGCUGGGGCGGUUAUUAUUGAAAACAAUAAAGUUGUAACGCAAUGAGUGGAUUAUGUAAUCUUGAAUUGAACAUGAAGGCAAGCUACUCUAGGGAUAACAGCGUAAUGAAAUCUGAGAGUUCUUAUUGAAGAUUUAGUUGCGACCUCGAUGUUGAAUUAAGUAAUACUAUCUGGAGCAGCAAAUAGAUAUAGUGAGUUUGUUCAACUCUUAAAUUCUUACAUGAUCUGAGUUCA